rnacentral:rRNA from 1 species
AGGCCUAACACAUGCAAGUCGAGCGGUAGCACAGAGAGCUUGCUCUCGGGUGACGAGCGGCGGACGGGUGAGUAAUGUCUGGGAAACUGCCUGAUGGAGGGGGAUAACUACUGGAAACGGUAGCUAAUACCGCAUAACGUCGCAAGACCAAAGUGGGGGACCUUCGGGCCUCAUGCCAUCAGAUGUGCCCAGAUGGGAUUAGCUAGUAGGUGGGGUAAUGGCUCACCUAGGCGACGAUCCCUAGCUGGUCUGAGAGGAUGACCAGCCACACUGGAACUGAGACACGGUCCAGACUCCUACGGGAGGCAGCAGUGGGGAAUAUUGCACAAUGGGCGCAAGCCUGAUGCAGCCAUGCCGCGUGUGUGAAGAAGGCCUUCGGGUUGUAAAGCACUUUCAGCGGGGAGGAAGGCGAUAAGGUUAAUAACCUUGUCGAUUGACGUUACCCGCAGAAGAAGCACCGGCUAACUCCGUGCCAGCAGCCGCGGUAAUACGGAGGGUGCAAGCGUUAAUCGGAAUUACUGGGCGUAAAGCGCACGCAGGCGGUCUGUCAAGUCGGAUGUGAAAUCCCCGGGCUUAACCUGGGAACUGCAUUCGAAACUGGCAGGCUAGAGUCUUGUAGAGGGGGGUAGAAUUCCAGGUGUAGCGGUGAAAUGCGUAGAGAUCUGGAGGAAUACCGGUGGCGAAGGCGGCCCCCUGGACAAAGACUGACGCUCAGGUGCGAAAGCGUGGGGAGCAAACAGGAUUGGAUACCCUGGUAGUCCACGCCGUAAACGAUGUCGAUUUGGAGGUUGUGCCCUUGAGGCGUGGCUUCCGGAGCUAACGCGUUAAAUCGACCGCCUGGGGAGUACGGCCGCAAGGUUAAAACUCAAAUGAAUUGACGGGGGCCCGCACAAGCGGUGGAGCAUGUGGUUUAAUUCGAUGCAACGCGAAGAACCUUACCUGGUCUUGACAUCCACAGAACUUUCCAGAGAUGGAUUGGUGCCUUCGGGAACUGUGAGACAGGUGCUGCAUGGCUGUCGUCAGCUCGUGUUGUGAAAUGUUGGGUUAAGUCCCGCAACGAGCGCAACCCUUAUCCUUUGUUGCCAGCGGUCCGGCCGGGAACUCAAAGGAGACUGCCAGUGAUAAACUGGAGGAAGGUGGGGAUGACGUCAAGUCAUCAUGGCCCUUACGACCAGGGCUACACACGUGCUACAAUGGCAUAUACAAAGAGAAGCGACCUCGCGAGAGCAAGCGGACCUCAUAAAGUAUGUCGUAGUCCGGAUUGGAGUCUGCAACUCGACUCCAUGAAGUCGGAAUCGCUAGUAAUCGUAGAUCAGAAUGCUACGGUGAAUACGUUCCCGGGCCUUGUACACACCGCCCGUCACACCAUGGGAGUGGGUUGCAAAAGAAGUAGGUAGCUUAACCUUCGGGAGGGCGCUUACCACUUUGUGAUUCAUGACUGGGGUGAAAUC